rnacentral:rRNA from 1 species
AUUGAACGCUAGCGGCAUGCCUUACACAUGCAAGUCGAACGGCAGCGCGGGGGCAACCCUGGCGGCGAGUGGCGAACGGGUGAGUAAUGCAUCGGAACGUGCCCAACGAUGGGGGAUAACUGCGCGAAAGCGUUGCUAAUACCGCAUACGACCUACGGGUGAAAGCAGGGGACCGCAAGGCCUUGCGUCGAUGGAGCGGCCGAUGUCGGAUUAGCUAGUUGGUGGGGUAAAGGCUCACCAAGGCGACGAUCCGUAGCUGGUCUGAGAGGACGACCAGCCACACUGGGACUGAGACACGGCCCAGACUCCUACGGGAGGCAGCAGUGGGGAAUCUUGGACAAUGGGCGAAAGCCUGAUCCAGCAAUGCCGCGUGUGGGAAGAAGGCCCUCGGGUUGUAAACUACUUUUGGCGGGAAAGAAAUGGUCUGUGCUAAUACCACGGAUUGAUGACGGUACCCGCAGAAUAAGCACCGGCUAACUACGUG